AGUCAGUAAACAAGGAAACAAAUCAAUCAAACUUAUACAAAGGAAGUCUGAAAUCAAUUAAAAUCGAAAGCCAGACUUAGAGGGAAGUUCAGCACACAUACAGAGCACACAAAUAUUCUAGGUUGAAUGUAUGGCAAAGAAAAACGUCACGCCAUUGAAACAUCAAUAGGUAGUAGACUUUAGGAUCAUGGUAGUCACACAGGUCAGCAAUGUAGAAGAGAUAGUAUCAAAUAGCAUGCAAAGGGUACAGUAUAAGGACCUUAGAAAAGUUUAGUGAAGAAUCAGAACUGCUUAAAGAAACAAAAGUUGAAAUAAAUAUUUCAAGACUCAGUUGAGCCACAGAUGAAAGAAAUUUAGAAACUCGAAAUAGAUCCAGAGGAGUUAGAGUUUCUGGAAUCAAAUAAGUUCAAGAAAAUCACAUAACCAACAGUCUCAAAACUCGAAUGAACCCCCAAAUUUUAGGAUUUUUACCAUUAAUCGAGUGCAGAUAUGAGAGGACAAGUAAUCAAGGAAAAAAUACUAAUCGAAUUAGGUUUAGAGGUCUCAGAAAGGAACUGAGACCCUUAACAAACUCUUUCAGUAGGAGGAACUCAUGAGAAGCAUAGUAAAAGAACAACAUCCAAAAGGCAGUAGAAGAACUCAAUGAAACAUAGUAGAAGAAACUAAUAAGAGACCUAGUAGAAGAAACUAAUAAGAACACAGUAGGAGAAACAUAUAAAGAUGCAUAUUCGAGGAAACUUAAUAAGAAAUAUAUAGUAGAAGAAACUCAUAAAGAACAGAGUAUGAUAACCAUAUAAGAAGCAUAGUAGAAGAAACUUAAUAAGAACACAGUAGAGGAAACUAAUAAGAACAUGAUAAUAGAAAAUUAACAAGAACACAGUAGAAGAAACUUGAUAAGAAACAUAGUAGAAGAAACACACAAGAGAAAAAAUUAGAGAACAUCUAAGUAACUCAAAACUCCUAGAUUGGAAAAAUGAAGGUUUUCAAAGCAUAGUUUUGAAAGAAAUCUCAACAAAUCCUCUAAAAGUUUAGGGAUACACGGAUCUAGAACAGAUCUAAAGAAAUCAGAAGAACCUCAAAAGAUAGGGUUUCAGAGGAACCUAAACGGUGAGAAAGGCUUGGAUAUUCGUUGACCUAAGCAGAAUGAGUCGAGGCCAGGCUCGAACAGACAUGACUUGCUAGAGCAAGGCUGGAGAUGGACAUGGAACUAGAAUCAAGCACGGUAUGGACCCAGCUUCUUCGUGGUCAGGUAAUGAGAUUCAGUAACCAAGCGUGGAGGAGCUAUAGAAGGCUGGUGGGUGGUAAAACCACCAUGGAUUCAGGCAAGAAAAUUGUUGGAGAAGGUGAGUGAAGCUCAUCAGAGCGAAGGGGGAGGGGAAGGUUCUAGAGAGAACCAAAGAGAGAGAUAGAAA
rnacentral:lncRNA from 1 species